UACGGGGGGAGCAAGCGUUGUUCGGAUUUACUGGGCGUAAAGGGCGCGUAGGCGGCGCGACAAGUCACUUGUGAAAUCUCCGGGCUUAACUCGGAGCGGCCAAGUGAUACUGUCGUGCUAGAGUGCGGAAGGGGCAACUGGAAUUCUCGGUGUAGCGGUGAAAUGCGCAGAUAUCAGGAGGAACACCGAUGGCGAAGGCAGGUCUCUGGGCCACUACUGACGCUGAGAAGCGAAAGCGUGGGGAGCGAACAGG
rnacentral:rRNA from 1 species